rnacentral:rRNA from 1 species
AGAGUUUGAUCCUGGCUCAGGAUGAACGCUAGCGGCAGGCCUAAUACAUGCAAGUCGGACGGGAUAGGAGAGCUUGCUUUCCUUGAGAGUGGCGCACGGGUGCGUAACACGUAUGUAACCUACCUUGNUUCAGGGGGAUAGCCUCUCGAAAGAGAGAUUAAGACCGCAUAACAUUAUGAUAUGGCAUCGUAUUAUAAUCAAAUAUUUAUAGGAACAAGAUGGGCAUGCGGAACAUUAGCUAGUUGGUAAGGUAACGGCUUACCAAGGCUACGAUGUUUAGGGGAUCUGAGAGGAUGACCCCCCACACUGGUACUGAGACACGGACCAGACUCCUACGGGAGGCAGCAGUAAGGAAUAUUGGUCAAUGGGCGGAAGCCUGAACCAGCCAUGCCGCGUGCAGGAAGACGGCCCUACGGGUUGUAAACUGCUUUUGCAGGGGAAUAAACCUCCGGUCGUGACCGGAGCUGAAUGUACCUUGAGAAUAAGGAUCGGCUAACUCCGUGCCAGCAGCCGCGGUAAUACGGAGGAUCCAAGCGUUAUCCGGAUUUAUUGGGUUUAAAGGGUGCGUAGGUGGCUUUUUAAGUCAGGGGUGAAAGACGGUAGCUUAACUAUCGCAGUGCCUUUGAUACUGAAGAGCUUGAAUGAACUAGAGGUAGGCGGG